CCGGUACUAUAAUGUCAUCCGGUAAACUGUAAACAAACGCACGUGGACGAUGAUCACAUGGGUCGGAAUGUUAGUAAACAUAAGCACGUGGUAAAGUUCAUCACAUGGUACCAUAACGGAAGUAAACAAACACACAUGGUCACUGCAUACAUGGACUCGAGACAUCUAAUGGUGGUCACUGACAUCACAUCUGGAUCUCCACAAAAACUGGUAUGUGCCAUCAACCCAACGAAACGUGGGCGCCAUUUGUAGUAGGUGGUUUUCUAUGCGUAAAGAGUAACACCAACAAGAGCUUAGGGUUCUGAUGCUUUAUUGUACCAGUAGAUAAA
rnacentral:lncRNA from 1 species